GUUGUUUUGAUGUGUGGUAAAGAUAUUUUACUAAUUUCAAAUUUCAAAACUCAGCAUCCUCCAUUGCUGAACUCUACGACGCCACAAAGUUGUCUUGCUGAUUUUGAUUUUCUUCCGCAGUUUUACGGGAGCCAUGAACCAGGAUGAUGAUGAUCGUUCGUGGCGUCUAUUCACUUCCGAGGAUAUGAUACAAGGUUAUAAGUCGCUUAACCGAAGAAAAAAAAGCGCGAGGAAGAGGAAGGAUCAGACGCCGGGAAGUUCCCCUGUUACAACCACGCCAACGUGUACAUAAGA